ACGAGGGGAUGAAAAGAUCUGGCAAAUACUUCUCUAAGUGUGGGAGGGUGAGGCUGGAGCGGCACUGUGCAUUCAGGUGAGCCAUCCGGCACGCAACAAACAGGCGUUGUAAUUCUUAAAACCACCCACCCGCAUUCCAGACAAAGGACCCACAAGAAGAGGUGACUGCUUCCCCUGCUCCCAUCCCUCCCCCUGCCCAGCGAUGUGCUGGUAAAUAAAUGCUGAACAACCAGAUCUGGAGGCGGGAGAUCUCAGCUGUAACAAAACCCAGUUUAUGUGGUGCCAGUGUUCCCACCGACCCACGGCAGAGCUGGGAAGAGAUGCGCGCACCAGCUCUCGGGCCUCUAAGGGCCAGCCCCGGCACACCUCUGCGUCAGCUCUUUGUCAGAUGCCUUCAGAAUGCGGCCAUGAUUCAAGGUGCACAAACAACCGCAGCUCUUUCCAUCCUGUUCCCACUUGCUGCCAGUUCUCUGUCUACUAUCAAAUGUCCCCGAGGAGAGAAUCUGUCACCCUUGUCCUUUUAGGGGAAAGCUCUCCUUGGAGGCUAUCUCGGAAGCCACUGAGCAGCCCAUAGGCUGGCUACCUCUGAGCCAGGUGUCCUCUCCUACUCCAUCUGUGGCUAAGAUGGACGGCUCACAUGCUAGACAACGUGGUCACCCAUGCUGAAGAAACAGACUGCGUUGCUACCUGCUUAGGGUGUUGUGGUCGGGGUGGCCUCUUUCGAAAGGAGUCUGUAAGCACGACAGGCUUUCAAGCGGUGGUCUCUCUGACGUACUGUUCUCAGCUCUUCAGUGAGAUCCUCUCGGCCACUACACAGAGCUUUGGGACAGCUUCUCCGCCACGUACCCCAAGGAACAUCUUGGGUAGGUGCCAACAACUGCAAACACGAGAAUGGACAGGUUAGGACUGGAUAGGAUUCAAGAGCCCCUCAUUUAGGGGGAGAAACCCUAUUAAGUUCAGUGAACAUUUAUCAAGUGCCGUUGUUUCAAACCAAUAGUGAUGAUUGGAGAGUAAGGAAAUCAUCUCAUAGGAGGAUGUCAUAGACGAUCCAGGAGAAGGGUUUCCAGACUACACUCAAUCCAAACUCCACAGAUUCUGCUUUCCUAAUCUGGGAAGUAGAACGGCGUGACUCAGCUCUGCCGAGAACACUUCUAUAUUGGUAGAAGCGUGCCCCUUGCCUCAAUGUGCUGGGGUGGGAGUGGGGUCAAGGAGAACUAUUCUCAACAACGUGAGGGACACAGAGUCAAUGCUGACUGGCUCACGGAGACACUUGAAAUCUUCUUUUACACAGUGGAAGCCAUCCCUUUUGUUAAUUCUGGAGAUAGUUGAUGUAUUCCCAUGAUGGAUGCGCUACCUGAUUCUCCCAGCUUUGGAUAUGUGGCUGCGCUACAACAAACAAUAACUAUUUUGACAAGAUUUUCAAUAUUGUAGACCAUUAAAUAAUCCUCUCUAGACCAGCAAAGCUGCUUGACUGUUAGCAAGAUCGCAUCACAUAAAGUGAUAUAUGCUACAUCAACCAUGUACACAUACAGAAGAAAAGAGAGCGAAGGGGAAGGAGCGAGAAUGAACAGUUGAAACUGCACAGGAAAAUUCUGGUGGGAGACUUGAUUCUACUUUCAUUCAGUCUCUUAGUGCUUCUUCUUUCGAGAGCAUCUAACCCCUCAGUGUGUGCAUCCAGUGUUUACAGGUAUUUUUCAAACCACGCACAACUUGCCCCUAACUGCAAACUACCUCCUUCAUAUGUUCAGCCUAAGCAGUUGCAAUCUGAUCCAGUAGUAGAGGAAAUCCCGGCUGUGCUGGGCUUUCUGGGAAAUGGCAUGUUGCUCUCCAAAAUGGUCUCCUUACAGGAUUUUCUGCAGUAGUUUAACCUCUGCCUAAAUUUCCCUCUGCGAGCUGCCAUUAGAACUUAAUCUCAAGUAGGUUAAGCAUCCGACUUCAGCCAGGUCACGAUCUCGAAGUCCGUGAGUUCGAGCCCCGCGUCAGGCUCUGGGCUGAUGGCUCAGAGCCUGGAGCCUGUUUCCAAUUCUGUGUCUCCCUCUCUCUCUGCCCCUCCCCCGUUCAUGCUCUGUCUCUCUCCGUCCCAAAAAUAAAUAAAAACGUUGAAAAAAAAAUUUUUUUAAAAAAGAACUUAAUCUCAUAAUCAGAUACAGCUCCACUCAGUAGUCAGGGACUUGAGCUUCGGGAUCAGAUAGAUCUAAAUUCAUGCAUGGCCUCCACCAUUAAAGCCCAUGGGACAGUAGGCAAGCUACUUAACUUUGCCUAAGCUUUGACGUUCUUUUUUCUUUCUGUAGAAUGAAAAAAUAAAGAUACCACCAUGCAUGACACUUAGCACAAUCCCAUGCUACCUAUGUACCUAUGUCCUUAAUAAAUAUCAAUAUAAUACUAAUAUUAUUAACCUUUAUCAUCACUUACCAACUUUCAAUCACCAGAGUCACUCUUUGCCUUUAAGCUUUAUCUGACAUGAUUUCCUGUGUCUGAAAUGACUCAUAGUUUCUCUGCACAGCUUAGAGUCCUACAUUUGUAUUCAUAAUCACCUCUUAAGGAAGUCAGUUCAGAUUUAAUAAUACAUUCAAUGUGUGUUUUCUUCCAAUACUUUUUAUAUUUACAUCCACGUUUGCUAAUAGUAAAUAUGUUAUCAAAUGUU